CGCGUAGGUGGUUUGUUAAGUUGGAUGUGAAAGCCCCGGGCUCAACCUGGGAACUGCAUCCAAAACUGGCAAGUUAGAGUACGGUAGAGGGUGGUGGAAUUUCCUGUGUAGCGGUGAAAUGCGUAGAUAUAGGAAGGAACACCAGUGGCGAAGGCGACCACCUGGACUGAUACUGACACUGAGGCGCGAAAGUGUGGGGAGGCAAAACA
rnacentral:rRNA from 1 species